UCAGGCCUAACACAUGCAAGUCGAGCGGGGUUUUCGGACCUAGCGGCGGACGGGCGAGUAAUGCGUAGGAAGCUACCCGAUAGAGGGGGAUACCAGUUGGAAACGACUGUUAAUACCGCAUAAUGUCUACGGACCAAAGUGUGGGACGUUCGGGCCACAUGCUAUCAGAUGAGCCCAUGUCGGAUUAGCUUGUUGGUGGAGGUAAAGGCUCACCAAGGCGACGAUCCGUAACUGGUCUGAGAGGAUGAUCAGUCACACUGGAACGGAGACACGGUCCAGACUCCUACGGGAGGCAGCAGUGGGGAAUAUUGG
rnacentral:rRNA from 1 species